rnacentral:rRNA from 1 species
UACGAAGGGGGGCUAGCGUUGCUCGGAAUCACUGGGCGUAAAGCGCACGUAGGCGGAUUGUUAAGUCAGGGGUGAAAUCCUGGAGCUCAACUCCAGAACUGCCUUUGAUACUGGAGGGCUUGAGUCCGGAAGAGGUGAGUGGAACUCCGAGUGUAGAGGUGAAAUUCGUAGAUAUUCGGAAGAACACCAGUGGCGAAGGCGGCUCACUGGUCCGGUACUGACGCUGAUGUGCGAAAGCGUGGGGAGCAAACAGG